UCCCGACAUUUUAAAACUACCCCGAAGGCAUUACGUUGCUGACGUAUCGUACGUGUCCAGGAAGUGAUUCUGCUCUCCCGGAUCGUCAUUUUACAUUUGUCCCCACAGGGCCUGCAUUUUCUUCAUCCUUUGGUCGAUUGGAGCAAAACCUGGAACGAGCUCAACGAGCAAAGUAGGACUUCAUUUCUGUAUUCUGCUAC